GAUCCACCUGGUACAGCUGCGGCCCGUUGGAGUCGAAUCCGGCCAUGAGGAGGGAGACCCCGAAGGGCCUGACGCCUCCCCGCUGGGUGAACUCCUGCAUCACCGACGCCGUCUCCCUCACGAUUUGCGAGCAGGGCACGAGCUCGUGGUAGGUGCGGUAGUACACCUGCGUCUCCUUGCGGGUCUUCUUCGUCAGCACCCUGAAGUCCGGUCCCAUCCCGCUGUAGGUCAUGCCAAUCUCGGGCGUCAGCUGCGCGAUCUUCUCCACGGUGGUCUCGUCCACCAGCGUCGAGGGAAGCUUCUUUUCGGUGGCAAGAACCACGCCGUUAACCGCGCGGAUGCCCAAAGAUGUCGCGCCGCUCUGCACC
rnacentral:lncRNA from 1 species